rnacentral:rRNA from 1 species
GAUCAUUACAGAGUUAUUUAACUCCUAAACCUUAUGUGAACUUACCUAUGUUGCCUCGGCGAGGAAGCCUACCCUGUAGUUACUUGGAGGCGAGCUACCCUGUAGCCCGCUGCUGGCUAACCCGUCGAUGGACCAUUCUAACUCUUGUUUUUCUGUGGCACAUCUGAACCGUUUAUACUUAAUAAGUUAAAACUUUCAACAACGGAUCUCUUGGUUCUGGCAUCGAUGAAGAACGCAGCGAAAUGCGAUAAGUAAUGUGAAUUGCAGAAUUCAGUGAAUCAUCGAAUCUUUGAACGCACAUUGCGCCCAUUAGUAUUCUAGUGGGCAUGCCUGUUCGAGCGUCAUUUCGACCAUCAAGUCUUAUUUGCUUGGAGUUGGGAAUUUGCUUGCAAGUAAUUCCUUAAAAUUAUUGGCGGAGUUGCGAUAACCCCAAGCGUAGUAAUUAUCUCUCGCUUUCGGUGUGUUAGCGCUGACAUUUAGCCGUUAAACCCUCUAUAUUUAUGUAGGUUUGACCUCGGAU